CGAGAAUUAGAUCUGUCUCGUAAUUACUUAAAUGGAUCGAUUCCCUCAAGUUAUGGCCAGCUUCGUCUCACUAUUUUAUCACUCUUGGGUAACCGUAUCAAUGGGCAGAUUCCCGAGGAGUUAGGUGACAUUUCCACACUGGAACAACUAAAUUUGGAAAAUAAUCUACUUGAAGGACCUCUUCCUCCAAAACUUGGUAGUUUGAGCCGCCUGAGAGAACUGUUUCUGUCUGCCAAUAAUCUCAAUGGAACUAUACCUGAGAACUUCAGCAAUCUUAAGAACAUGACAGACUUUAGGAUAGAUGGGAAUAGCAUUUCUGGAACCAUACCAGAUUUUCUUGGAAAUUGGACCAACAUGGAUAGAUUAGACAUUCAGGGAACGUCAAUGGAGGGACCUAUUCCUG
rnacentral:misc_RNA from 1 species